rnacentral:tRNA from 1 species
UAAUAAGAAGCAAAAAUUGCAUUUAGUUUCGACCUAAAAUUUUGAUAUUAAGGUAUCCUUAUUAU